rnacentral:rRNA from 1 species
UACGUAGGGGGCAAGCGUUGUCCGGAUUUACUGGGCGUAAAGCGCGCGUAGGCGGAGCUUUAAGCGUGGCCUGAAAGCCCCGGGCUCAACCUGGGAAUUGCAUUUGAGACUGCGUAGCUAGGGUGCGGAAGAGGGAAGCGGAAUUUCCGGUGUAGCGGUGAAAUGCGUAGAUACUGGGAGGAACACCGGUGGCGAAGGCGGCUACCUGGACCGGAACUGACGCUGAGGCGCGAAAGCGUGGGUAGCAAACAGG